rnacentral:rRNA from 1 species
UGUCUAUUCCACACACACCGUGAACCGUUUUGGAGCCCUCCAGGGGGUUCCAGACAAAACAUACCAAAAACAAUGUGUAAUGAAUGUAACAUAAUCGUAACAAAACAAAACUUUCAACAACGGAUCUCUUGGCUCUCGCAUCGAUGAAGAACGCAGCGAAAUGCGAUAAGUAAUGUGAAUUGCAGAAUUCAGUGAAUCAUCGAAUCUUUGAACGCACCUUGCGCCUCUUGGUAUUCCGAGAGGCAUGCCUGUUUGAGUGUCUUAUAAAAUCAAUCCCCACGGGUUUCUUGACCUGGCGGUGGACUUGGGACUUGGGGCGUCUGCCGUUCACACGGCUCGCCUUAAAGAUGUUAGUGGGACAAGUUGCCUACGGCUUGACGUAAUAAGUUUCGUCAGACCCGGUGUCUUAUGCCCGCUCAUAACCCUCCUUUGCCUUCUCUGGCUUGGAACCCCUUUAUGCUAGACCUCAAAUCAGGUAGGACUACCCGCUGAAC